GACGAACGCUGGCGGCGUGCCUAAUACAUGCAAGUCGAACGAGGAUUUCUUACACUGAGUGCUUGCACUCACCGUAAGAAAUUCGAGUGGCGGACGGGUGAGUAACACGUGGGUAACCUGCCCAAAAGAAGGGGGAUAACAUUUGGAAACAAAUGCUAAUACCGUAUAACCAUGAUGACCGCAUGGUCAUUAUGUAAAAGGUGGUUUUGCUAUCGCUUUUGGAUGGACCCGCGGCGUAUUAACUAGUUGGUAGGGUAACGGCUUACCAAGGUGAUGAUACGUAGCCGAGUUGAGAGACUGAUCGGCCACAAUAGGACUGAGACACGGCCCAUACUCCUACGGGAGGCAGCAGUAGGGAAUCUUCCACAAUGGGCGCAAGCCUGAUGGAGCAACACCGCGUGAGUGAAGAAGGGUUUCGGAUCGUAAAACUCUGUUGUUAGAGAAGAACACGAG
rnacentral:rRNA from 1 species